UACCAGCACCCCGAGUGGUCGGGACGAUUAUUGGGCCUAAAGCAUCCGUAGCCGGUUCUGCAAGUCCCCCGUUAAAUCCAGCUGCUCAACAGAUGGGCUGCGGGGGAUACUACAGGGCUAGGAGGCGGGAGAGGCAAGCGGUACUUUAUGGGUAGGGGUAAAAUCCGUUGAUCCAUAGAAGACCACCAGUGGCGAAGGCGGCUUGCCAGAACGCGCUCGACGGUGAGGGAUGAAAGCUGGGGGAGCAAACCGG
rnacentral:rRNA from 1 species